rnacentral:lncRNA from 1 species
UUUCCAUCUGCUCAGCAAAUAGAGUUCCUUGCUAAUGGACAUUGUCAAGGGGAAGAGAAACUACUUUAAUGUGUAAAUCUGACAAAGGUCAGCUUAUGUUCCAUGGCAGCUCCAGCCAUACAGACACCCGGUGCUAAGUGGAUAGUCCUUGGCUCUUGGCAGUGAGUUGUGAGCUACAGACAGCUACAGACGGAGCACAGGAUUAAAAUGAGCUGAACUUCAGUGUUCUGACACAGGAAUUUGAGACCGAAGGGUCCCUGGAGCUGAAUCCAAGGCCUGGCACUGCAGCUUGCUCACAGGCCGGCAGGUUUUACAUAUGUUACACGAUUUGCACCAAUCAAUACAGAACGUGGACACGUGCUCACAUCUGGAACACAUGAGCCAUGAAGGCAGGGACUGAAUGGAGAUCUUGCAAGCACCCUGGCACUGUCUGGAUUUCAGGGAUGCAGCUCUACCACAGAGCAAAGCUGGAAGCUGCUUCCCUCAGCUGGCUGGCCAAGAAGGAAAACUCCAAAUUCCAUGUGAAUGUAGCACAGGACAAGGAUCACAACGCUGGAUCAAGGAUCUGCCUCUGCUCACAGCACUGCCAAGGACAUGGCAAUGCAUUUUAAUUCUGGCUAUGGAAGUAGGGAAAAUAAAGCUUUACCAAAAAGAAAAAAAUUAUUUCUUUAUAUAGGAAAUAUGAAAUUGAAGCAAACCACAAGGCUGCACCUAGAACACCUUUCUGAGCUCUCCAGCAUUCCCAUAGUCCUUGUUUCUGGUUAGCUGUCCAUCUCUCACAGCUUCCAGAGGCUCCAGAAACCCCCAUCUUUCCAGAGACCGUUCUGGAAGCAGCACUUUCUCCAUGGAGCACUUGCAGAUCUCCAGCUCUGAGGGCUGGACCAGAGCAUUUGCCCCAGAGUCUGAUUUAAAGACCCAUGGUCAUCCAGAAAAACCCAGAGCCUGAUUUGGCAACACUCUCCCUUGAGCAGACUGGUGAGAAAAGUGGAGACCAGGAACUUCAAUUGUAUGACAAGCUCAAGCCAGUGACAAAAGUCUUGCUGAUCUAGGCAAUUGCUAAAAAAAAAAGGGAAAAGAAAAAAAAACCAACCCAAGCAACCAAACUUGUUGUCUGUUCAGAUUGCUAACUAAAUAACCUGUGAGUGGCAAUAAUUCUGCAAAAGAUGCUCUCAGGAGUGUUUUUUACUGUGAAAGUGUUUAUAAAUAAAAAUAAAAAAAUGUAUCUGUGUAUAUUUCA